GACACUUUGGCCGAGUGGUUAAGGCGUUGGCCUGCUAAGCCAAUGG
rnacentral:tRNA from 1 species